rnacentral:rRNA from 2 species
GGGUUGUGAGGUUAAGCGACUAAGCGUACACGGUGGAUGCCCUGGCAGUCAGAGGCGAUGAAGGACGUGCUAAUCUGCGAAAAGCGUCGGUAAGGUGAUAUGAACCGUUACAGCCGGCGAUGUCCGAAUGGGGAAACCCAGUGUGAUUCGUCACACUAUCGUUAACUGAAUACAUAGGUUAACGAGGCGAACCGGGGGAACUGAAACAUCUAAGUACCCCGAGGAAAAGAAAUCAACCGAGAUUCCCCCAGUAGCGGCGAGCGAACGGGGAGCAGCCCAGAGUCUGAAUCAGCUUGUGUGUUAGUGGAACGGUCUGGAAAGUCCGACGGUACAGGGUGAUAGUCCCGUACACCAAAAUGCACAGGCUGUGAACUCGAAGAGUAGGGCGGGACACGUGGUAUCCUGUCUGAAUAUGGGGGGACCAUCCUCCAAGGCUAAAUACUCCUGACUGACCGAUAGUGAACCAGUACCGUGAGGGAAAGGCGAAAAGAACCCCGGCGAGGGGAGUGAAAAAGAACCUGAAACCGUGUACGUACAAGCAGUGGGAGCACCUUCGGGUGUGACUGCGUACCUUUUGUAUAAUGGGUCAGCGACUUAUAUUCUGUAGCAAGGUUAACCGUAUAGGGGAGCCGCAGGGAAACCGAGUCUUAACUGGGCGUUAAGUUGCAGGGUAUAGACCCGAAACCCGGUGAUCUAGCCAUGGGCAGGUUGAAGGUUGGGUAACACUAACUGGAGGACCGAACCGACUAAUGUUGAAAAAUUAGCGGAUGACUUGUGGCUGGGGGUGAAAGGCCAAUCAAACCGGGAGAUAGCUGGUUCUCCCCGAAAGCUAUUUAGGUAGCGCCUCGUGAAUUCAUCUUCGGGGGUAGAGCACUGUUUCGGCUAGGGGGUCAUCCCGACUUACCAACCCGAUGCAAACUACGAAUACCGAAGAAUGUUAUCACGGGAGACACACGGCGGGUGCUAACGUCCGUCGUGAAGAGGGAAACAACCCAGACCGCCAGCUAAGGUCCCAAAGUCAUGGUUAAGUGGGAAACGAUGUGGGAAGGCACAGACAGCCAGGAUGUUGGCUUAGAAGCAGCCAUCAUUUAAAGAAAGCGUAAUAGCUCACUGGUCGAGUCGGCCUGCGCGGAAGAUGUAACGGGGCUAAACCAUGCACCGAAGCUGCGGCAGCGACACUAUGUGUUGUUGGGUAGGGGAGCGUUCUGUAAGCCUGCGAAGGUGACCUGUGAGGGUUGCUGGAGGUAUCAGAAGUGCGAAUGCUGACAUAAGUAACGAUAAAGCGGGUGAAAAGCCCGCUCGCCGGAAGACCAAGGGUUCCUGUCCAACGUUAAUCGGGGCAGGGUGAGUCGACCCCUAAGGCGAGGCCGAAAGGCGUAGUCGAUGGGAAACAGGUUAAUAUUCCUGUACUUGGUGUUACUGCGAAGGGGGGACGGAGAAGGCUAUGUUAGCCGGGCGACGGUUGUCCCGGUUUAAGCAUGUAGGCUGGUUAUCCAGGCAAAUCCGGAUAAUCAAGGCUGAGGUGUGAUGACGAGGCACUACGGUGCUGAAGUAACAAAUGCCCUGCUUCCAGGAAAAGCCUCUAAGCAUCAGGUAACAUUAAAUCGUACCCCAAACCGACACAGGUGGUCAGGUAGAGAAUACCAAGGCGCUUGAGAGAACUCGGGUGAAGGAACUAGGCAAAAUGGUGCCGUAACUUCGGGAGAAGGCACGCUGGUGUGUAGGUGAAGUCCCUGCGGAUGGAGCUGAGACCAGUCGAAGAUACCAGCUGGCUGCAACUGUUUAUUAAAAACACAGCACUGUGCAAACACGAAAGUGGACGUAUACGGUGUGACGCCUGCCCGGUGCCGGAAGGUUAAUUGAUGGGGUUAUCCGUAAGGAGAAGCUCUUGAUCGAAGCCCCGGUAAACGGCGGCCGUAACUAUAACGGUCCUAAGGUAGCGAAAUUCCUUGUCGGGUAAGUUCCGACCUGCACGAAUGGCGUAAUGAUGGCCAGGCUGUCUCCACCCGAGACUCAGUGAAAUUGAACUCGCUGUGAAGAUGCAGUGUACCCGCGGCAAGACGGAAAGACCCCGUGAACCUUUACUAUAGCUUGACACUGAACAUUGAGCCUUGAUGUGUAGGAUAGGUGGGAGGCUUUGAAGCGUGGACGCCAGUCUGCGUGGAGCCGACCUUGAAAUACCACCCUUUAAUGUUUGAUGUUCUAACGUUGGCCCCUUACCGGGGUUGCGGACAGUGUCUGGUGGGUAGUUUGACUGGGGCGGUCUCCUCCCAAAGCGUAACGGAGGAGCACGAAGGUUAGCUAAUCCUGGUCGGACAUCAGGAGGUUAGUGCAAUGGCAUAAGCUAGCUUGACUGCGAGCGUGACGGCGCGAGCAGGUGCGAAAGCAGGUCAUAGUGAUCCGGUGGUUCUGAAUGGAAGGGCCAUCGCUCAACGGAUAAAAGGUACUCCGGGGAUAACAGGCUGAUACCGCCCAAGAGUUCAUAUCGACGGCGGUGUUUGGCACCUCGAUGUCGGCUCAUCACAUCCUGGGGCUGAAGUAGGUCCCAAGGGUAUGGCUGUUCGCCAUUUAAAGUGGUACGCGAGCUGGGUUUAGAACGUCGUGAGACAGUUCGGUCCCUAUCUGCCGUGGGCGCUGGAGAAUUGAGGGGGGCUGCUCCUAGUACGAGAGGACCGGAGUGGACGCAUCACUGGUGUUCGGGUUGUCAUGCCAAUGGCACUGCCCGGUAGCUAAAUGCGGAAGAGAUAAGUGCUGAAAGCAUCUAAGCACGAAACUUGCCCCGAGAUGAGUUCUCCCUGAGACUUUAAGUCUCCUGAAGGAACGUUGAAGACGACGACGUUGAUAGGCCGGGUGUGUAAGCGCAGCGAUGCGUUGAGCUAACCGGUACUAAUGAACCGUGAGGCUUAACCUUACAACGCCGAAG